UGGGGAAUAUUGGACAAUGGGCGGAAGCCUGAUCCAGCCAUGCCGCGUGUGUGAAGAAGGCCUUUUGGUUGUAAAGCACUUUAAGCGAGGAGGAGGCUACUUGGAUUAAUACUCUAGGAUAGUGGACGUUACUCGCAGAAUAAGCACCGGCUAACUCUGUGCCAGCAGCCGCGGUAAUACAGAGGGUGCGAGCGUUAAUCGGAUUUACUGGGCGUAAAGCGUGCGUAGGCGGCUUCUUAAGUCGGAUGUGAAAUCCCUGAGCUUAACUUAGGAAUUGCAUUCGAUACUGGGAAGCUAGAGUAUGGGAGAGGAUGGUAGAAUUCCAGGUGUAGCGAUGAAAUGCGUAGAGAUCUGGAGGAAUACCGAUGGCGAAGGCAGCCAUCUGGCCUAAUACUGACGCUGAGGUACGAAAGCAUGGGGAGCAAACAGG
rnacentral:rRNA from 1 species